UAUCCAUAUAAAUAUUUCCAUUAAGUACAUGUACUAAAAUAUCAUCUAUAGUCAGUAUUUUAAAGGAUUGUUUUUCUAAAUAUAGUAAUCAUACUAAUAAAGGGUCAAAAAGCUGUCGUAAGUAAAUUCACAACUUUUUAUUGUCUCCAAAGAGAUAUAUUGAUAGCAAUAAUAUUAAUAAUAACAUUUAAUAAGCAGUUAUGUAUACUAAGCACUUUAUUAUCAUUAUGCCAUUUAAUCCUCAUAACUGCUGAAUUGGUUUCUAUCCUUGUACAGUUGAGGGAAUUGACUUAGGUUAACUAACUUACUUAGGAUAACGCAACUACUAAGCGACAAAGCCAAGCUAAUAAUGAUAAAGUUUCCUGUUUUGGUCAGGAUUAUGGACAGGAUAAUGUUCUCUUAAAUUAAUGGAAAAAGUAAUGUGUAAAAAUAAAAGUUUUAAUCUGACUCAAUCUCUAGUGCUAAUUUCUAGAUUGAUAUUACCACCAUGUUUUUUCUUUUCCUUAAGAACGUGUUUCCCUUUGAGCCUUGAAUACUUUGGCUCUAUUACUUUCAUCUUCUUGGGGUUGAGCAAUCAGAAGAAUGGGAGAUUUCAACUGGAAUGUUUCUAUAUAGGCUAUUAUAAUUCAGUUCAACCUAUUGAGUAUUUGUUAACUCAUUUUACGACACUUGUGAUGACAUAAAAACACUGAGCUUUCUGUAUCAGCACUCUUCAAUGAGCAGAUUGCUCCUUGGCAUCCUGGAUUAUGGAGGUCUGAGUUCAUGCAACUCUAAUUCUGUUAUCAGCACUUUUUUUCUUUGCAGUGCUAGGGAUCAAACCCAGGGCCUAGAUGCAGGUGCUGGGCAAUCACUCUACUACUGAGCUCCAACCUUACUACCUACAUUCUAGCCCUAGCACUAACUUUUAUGUAAAAGUCAAAGUUUGUAUUUCCUUUUAACCUCUGUAUUGUGGGUCAUACUGCAUUUGAGUGAUGCCCAAGGACGUUGUAAGAAAUUCAGAUUAUUUAAGCUUUUCAAUAUUGAGAUGAAUGUUAGAUUUGAAAUAGAAAUUCUUCUGUAGGUAACUUAGCAGUGUUUCCCCUAAUGUUUAAAGCUGUUGCCAACCCAGAGUCCAGUCUCUAACCUUUUAUUUAUUUGGUACUAGUGAUUAAAAUCCAGGGGCGCUUUAUCACUGAACUCCAUCCCCAACCCUUUUUUAUUUAUUUUGAGAUUGGGUCUUGCUACAUUGCCUAGGCUGGCCUUGAACUUGCCCAUCUAUAUGCCUUAAACUUCCAAAUAGUUAGGAUUACAGGCAAGUGCCAGCAUGCCUAGCUCAUCCUUUUAAAAGUUUUUGAAUUAUGUUGAUUUUUUUCUUCUAAAUAUUUACAUUUUAUCUAAUGAGGCAUUUUAAACAUUUUGUAUUUAAAAUAUUUGCAUUAUUCUGAAUAAAACAUUCAUUCUUAUUUUUUUGAAAGAAUGUGUACUGAUGAUAAUGUAUAACCAGUAUACAAUAAAUAAUAUAUUUUAAUAGAAGAAUUCAAGACCGUAGAGGUAGGGUUAAAGUAUCUGUAUAAAUUAAAUGGAAUUUGUAUUUUAUACAGCUUACUUGAACAUACCAUCACCAUUUUUUUUCUUAUAUAUUAACUAUAUUUAGUAUUUGGAACCAUUGGUAUCACGUUGUAGUUAGCUCUGACUGACCAGUCAGUGAAAUGAUAAAAAGCAGUUACUAUACAGUACUUUGUGGAGAGCAACCCAUGUGCCGAAAGAGAGGACACACUGAGUCACAUUACUACUACCAAAUUUUUUCUUAGCACUUACUUACCCAGGGAACUCUAUACAUAGCACAGAGUGUUCAGUACUAAGUAACAGAUACUUCUGGACUUGAGUUCAGUUCACUUACCAGGAAUUGUGAACAAGAUUAGACUGGUCUGAAAAUUGCACCUGAUUUAAAAAAAAAUAUUUGUAUAAAGAAUUUAUGGGGACUUCCAAGAAGAUGGCGGCGAGGGGAGUGCAUUGCCCCCGUGUGCUGCUUCACUGUGUGGGAGUAUGACAAGUCAGGACUGCUAAAGGCUAUCUUGUUAGGAAUUUCCAGCAAUAGUGGGGUGCUCUGGAACCUGGAGGAAGGAUUUCCAUCGCACGAGGAUCGGCUACGGGGACUCAAACGCGAGAGGUUUGUCGCAUGGAGGGUAACACUGCUUAUUCAGCAAAUCGCCCCGCGGCUAGAGUCUGCAGCGCGCGCUGGGAAACGAGGAGAUAGCGACGCAGGGAGACAGCGCUGCAGUUUCUGCCAGCCGUGCAAGCACCGUACUCAGGGCUGAAUUCUGGGUUUGAGACAGGGGAAGGAAGCGGUCCAUCUCGGUUCUCCACACCGGUCAGACCACAGAGGAGGCCAGCAGCCACCAUGUUGGAAAGCUGACGUCACCAUCCCUGUUUUCGACUGACCGCAGCUCAUUCAGCCAUAGAACAGGUAAUUUCAGGCUGCCAUUCGCCUGCGGCUUGCAGACAGUUGCUAGGGUUCAGUGCCUGGGGGCUUCUUAGAACCUGAUCUUAUCGGAGCGAACACCGAGCGCGGGGAGGCCGAGUUCCGGCUCCCGGAACCGCCCUGGCCCAGGGCUGGGGAGCCUGCAGAGGCUGCUUCUUGGACCCUGCUCCUAUCAGAGCAUACACCAAGCACUAAGCGGCUGAAUUCCGGCUCCUGGAACUGAGCCCGCGGGGACUGCUUCUUGGAGCCUACUCUUAUCAGAGCUUACACCGAGCACGGAGCGGCCGAGUUCUGGCUCCUGGAACUGCCCUGGCCCAGGGCUAGGAGCCCACGGAAACUGCUUCUCGGUCCGGGUCCUGCUGAGGGCUGGUCAGGACUCACCCGUUGCUUUGGUUGCACGGCAAGGGGAACGAAAUGCUGCCAUUCGCAUAGGAUACCAACAUGGCAGAGAUCUGAUGUCAUCAGAAAGCGGCGGAGGAGAGAACUUCAUCAAUACCAGCGGCGACAGAAACAGUUGGUCUCCUGGUAGGGGGGGUGAGGCACAGACACCCGAGUCUCCUCAAUUUGUCGUCGAGCCAGAGGGGAGGAGCCGGGCCGCCGCCAGCGCCCGGAGCAGGCCCAGCGGCUCGCCAGCGUGGUGACCGCGUGACCCCAAUUGGAGAGGGGGCGGAGCGGAGCCGCCACCCGCACCCGCAAGGUGGGCAGACCCGCGACCCAGUGGUACAUGGGCGUGGUAGGAGGGGCAGGGCA
rnacentral:lncRNA from 1 species